rnacentral:rRNA from 1 species
AUACGUAGGGGGCGAGCGUUGUCCGGAAUGAUUGGGCGUAAAGGGCGCGUAGGCGGCCCGGUAAGUCUGGAGUGAAAGUCCUGUUUUUAAGAUGGGAAUUGCUUUGGAUACUGUCGGGCUUGAGUGUAGGAGAGGUAAGUGGAAUUCCCAGUGUAGAGGUGGAAUGCGUAGAGAUUGGGAGGAACACCAGUGGCGAAGGCGACUUACUGGACUGUAACUGACGCUGAGGCGCGAAAGUGUGGGGAGCAAACAGGAUUAGAUACCCUGGUAGUCCACACUGUAAACGAUGAAUGCUAGGUGUAGGGGGUAUCGACCCCUUCUGUGCCGCAGUCAACACAAUAAGCAUUCCGCCUGGGGAGUACGGCCGCAAGGUUGAAACUCAAAGGAAUUGACGGGG